rnacentral:rRNA from 1 species
UACGUAGGUGGCAAGCGUUGUCCGGAUUUACUGGGCGUAAAGAGCGCGCAGGCGGUCGUUCAAGUCGCGUGUGAAAGCCCUCGGCUCAACCGAGGAAGUGCGUUCGAAACUGCAGAGCUUGAGUGCCGGAGAGGGUGGCGGAAUUCCCCCGAAGUAGAGGUGAAAUUCGUAGAUAUGGGGAGGAACACCGAUGGCGAAGGCAGCUCGCUGGGACGGUACUGACGCUGAGACGCGAAAGCGUGGGGAGCAAACAGG